rnacentral:ncRNA from 2 species
CAGAAAACUACAUACUGUUCUCGUAUAACCUCGCAGCCAUUUGCUAUAUACAGGGCGAGGGUUUCUACAGGAAGCCUAUUCUUCCUAACUACGAUGACAAGGAUCAAAUGU